UAACAAUGAUACAAUUUCAAUUCAAUGUGUUUAAUGCAGGCCUGAAUCACUUCGUUGAAUAUAUAUAUUGUUCCCUAGGCAGCAGAUAGAUGGCAGUAUAGUGCAGCUGUUGAACAGAAAGGCCGAAAUAGAACGUUUGCCGAAAUAGAAAGCAAGUGCUCAGCUACAGCGACUAGCUAAUUUUGCAGUUUGGUCGACAUGGAUCGAUUUAUUGUAAAAAAGAAACGUAAAUCUAUUGACAAUGAAAAUGAGGGGGAAGAGCUGAAGAACAACGUGACAGCUAUGAAUGAACAACCACCGUAGAACCAGGAAAAUCAGGAAGAUGGCGGUGGGGAAAUGCAGCUAGCUAACGUAGCUAACGUGGCUAACAUCGCUAAGAAAAGGAUAUGGUCGAUUCAAGAAGAACACAGAAAGUUCCAAGAGAAAUGGACAGACAAGUAUUUUUUUGUACUGCAUGAUGGGACUAGCUCACUCUGUCUUAUUGCCAGAAGGCAGUCAAUUGUUUUAAACAACAACAUUUGUAGCGACAUUUCCAGUCACAUCAUGCCCACUUUGACAAAACAUAUCCGCCACAAAGCAACCUCAGAAACAACAAAAUAGCGCAACUGAAAGGACAGCUCAAAGGACAACAACAAAUGAUGGACAGAUCUAGCACUGUCGCAGAGAAAACGACAGAGGCAACAUAUGAGAUUGCUUGGAUACUCGAGAGAAACAAGAAGGCCUUCACAGAUGCGGAGUUUGUCAAAUAAUGUUUUUUGGCCUCAGCCAAAAUAUUGUAUGAUGAUUUCACAAACAAGGACGCUAUUUUAAAGCAAAUUAAGUGAUUGCAACUCUCAGACUCGACCAUAACCAGACGCAUAGAAGACAUCGGUGAUGACAUCGGGCCUGAACCUUAGGACCAUGCCUCAGGACUUCCUGGCCUGAUGACCCCUUGCUGUCCCCAGUCCACCUGGUCGUGCUGCUGCUCCAGUUUCAACUGUUCUGCCUGCGGCUAUGGAACCCUGACCUGUUCACCGGACGUGCUACCUUUCCCAGACCUGCUGUUUUAAACUCUCUAGAGACAACAGGAGCGGUAGAGCUAUUUUGAAUGAUCGGCUAUGAAAAGCCAACUGACAUUUACUCCUGAGGUGCUGACCUGUUGCACCCUCGACAACCACUGUGAUUAUUAUUAUUUGACCCUGCUGGUCAUCUAUGAACAUUUGAAGAUCUUGGCCAUAAUCUCAACCCGGCACAGCCAGAAGAGAACUGGCCACCCCUCAUAGCCUGGUUCCUCUCUAGGUUUCUUCCUAGGUUCUGGCCUUUCUAGGGAGUUUUUCCUAGCCACCCUGACUCUACACCUGCAUCGCUUGCUGUUUGGGGUUUUAGGCUGGGUUUCUGUACAUCACUUUGUGACAUCAGCUGAUGUAAGAAGGGCUUCAUAAAUACAUUUGAUUGAUUGGAUUUCCUCACAAGGAUAGCAACAACAGACUAUACAUUUUGAAUGAAUUCAGUCAAGGAGCAGAAGGGACAUAUUCCCUCAUCUAAAUACUGAGCUAACCCUUAAUAUGGGUUUUAUACAUCUGAUGUAGCCUAUUUGAUGUGUGUAUGUAUAUUUUUGUGAUGUGCUGUACAUCAAAUCAAUUGCAUGUGCUCUAUUGCUCUGAAUUUGCUUACAAUUGAUAAUUGAAAAUAUUGGAAGAAAAAGUACAAUAAAUUAAAGAUCGGUGCGGCCCUCUGAAUGAUUGUCUCAACCCAAAGUGGCCCCCUUACAAAAAAAUGUGAGUAACACUGCUGUGGAUUAACAAAAGUGGAGAGGCAGUACAGAGAAACAAGAGAUCAAUAACUCACGUAUCAAUUGGGUGUCACACCCUGAUCUGUUUCAACUGUCCUUGUGAUUGUCUCCACCCCCCUCCAGGUGUCGCCCAUCAUCCCCCUUAUCCCCCGUAUAUUUAAACAAGUGUUCUCUGUUUGUCCGUUGCCAGUUUGUCUUGUUUGUCAAGUAAACCAGCAUUUUUGUUUUCAGCUCCUGCUUUUCCCAGUCUUUCUUUUUCUCUCCCUCCUGGUUUUCACCCUUGCCUGUCCUGACUCUGAGCCCGCCUGCCUGACCACUCUGCCUGCCCCUGAGUCUGCCUGCUGACCUGUAACUUUGCCCCACCUCUGGAUUGUUGACCUCUGCCUACCCUGACCCUGAGCCUGCCUGUCGUCUGGUACCGUUGCCCCUCUCUGCUUUCCUGACCCCUGCCUGCCUUGACCUGUCUAUUGCCUACCCAUGUUGGAAGAUUAAACCAUUGUCAAUUCGA